GAGUUUGAUCUUGGCUCAGAUUGAACGCUGGCGGCAUGCCUUACACAUGCAAGUCGAACGGCAGCAUGAUCUAGCUUGCUAGAUUGAUGGCGAGUGGCGAACGGGUGAGUAAUACAUCGGAACGUGCCCUGUAGUGGGGGAUAACUAGUCGAAAGAUUAGCUAAUACCGCAUACGACCUGAGGGUGAAAGUGGGGGACCGCAAGGCCUCAUGCUAUAGGAGCGGCCGAUGUCUGAUUAGCUAGUUGGUGGGGUAAAGGCCCACCAAGGCGACGAUCAGUAGCUGGUCUGAGAGGACGAUCAGCCACACUGGGACUGAGACACGGCCCAGACUCCUACGGGAGGCAGCAGUGGGGAAUUUUGGACAAUGGGCGAAAGCCUGAUCCAGCAAUGCCGCGUGUGUGAAGAAGGCCUCGGUU
rnacentral:rRNA from 1 species